GACGUAGGGGGCCAGCGUUGUUCGGAAUUACUGGGUGUAAAGGGUUCGUAGGCGGUGUAGCAAGUCGGGUGUGAAAUCUCUGGGCUUAACCCAGAGGCUGCUUCCGAAACUGCUGUGCUUGAGUGUGGGAGAGGCGCGUGGAAUUGCAGGUGUAGCGGUGAAAUGCGUAGAUAUCGGAAGGAACAUCAGUGGCGAAAGCGACUUCCUGGACCAAUACUGACGCUCAUGUGCGAAAGCGUGGGGAGCAAACAGG
rnacentral:rRNA from 1 species